rnacentral:lncRNA from 1 species
GAGAAAGAAAAUUUCAGAGGGAGAGAUCAUAUAGAACUUAAUCGUAUAAAUUCGCAUCUAAAGAUGAGACAAAGAAUACUAAAUGUAAAGUGGUAUUAAACUUUGUGCUUCAUUGAAUAUCUUUUGAAAGUUGGAUUUCCAUCUGUAUUCAUCGGUAAAUCAUUUAUUUCUGAAAAUUAAUUGACAAGGAUUCCGUCUGUCUUAGUAUCGAAAAUUUAUCUUGCAAUCUACUUAUGAGUUCUUAUUGGCUUGCACCUUAGUGUUUCAAUCCUGAGCCAAUUCAUUUUAAUUGAUUUUGAUGUUAUGAUCUUUAAAGGAGUAAAAGAAAGUCCUUAAGAGAGCUCUAAAAGAACUUUCAAAGCCUUGAAUUUUAUGUAUCCUACACUGCAUAGAUUCAUGUUUUGGUAUCUAUGCCCCAAUACUUUUUUAUCAUGAAAGAACUUUAAAGUCAUUAAGAAUUAAGGAUUCAACAUAAUCUUAUGUUUUUCAAGUAUAUAAGGUUUGAUCUUUAUU